AGGCUGGAAGGAGGAAACCAGUGAUGAAGGAUUUGCCAUAACCUUGUCCUGGAAGAAGAGCCAUGGCCAAAGUAGAUGGAGAGGAAUGGCCAUGCAAGGCAGCUGUGAUGGAUUCACCUCCGUGCAAGACAGCUAUGACAGAGUUGAUAGAAAGUAUGAGAACAUGGGCCACCCCUCCUUGGAUGUUCUGGACCAGGGGCCUUUCUUCAUCAGAGUCACCAGGAAACCUUGUCAAAGAGGAGAUACCCAGGCUUUACACCAGCCUUUGGGAGGGCCUGAGAGUGAGCAUCUCCCAGGGAAGAGGAAGGAGGAAAGCUGCUAACACCUGGGAAUAAUCGCUCAAUAGCAGGAGCAGCUAAAUUCUUCUUUAAAGGACUAGAUAGUAAAUAUUUUAGACUCUGCAGACCUUUAGUCUCUGUUGCAACUAUUUGGCUCUGUUACUGUCAUUUGAAAGCAACCACAGACAAUACGUACAUGGAUGAGGGUGGGUGCAUUCCAAUAAAACUUUAUUUGCAAAGUGGCGCACUGGAUUUGGCCCCUGGUAGUUUACUGCCCCUUGUCUAUAGCAUGCAAAGUGCCCCCAUAGCCUGUCUCUCUGGUUGUUUUCCCAGCAGCCCUGUGAGGAGGGUAUGCUUUUCUCCAUUCUACAGAUGAGGAGAUGGAGGCCCAGGGAGGUUAGACAUCCAGGGUCCCCCAGAAAGUGCAUGUCAGAGCUGGGAGUAGAAUUAGACUUCCUGAUCCCAGUUCAGUGUGCUGGAAAGUAUGAGCCUAGUAAGAAGGUCUGGGCCGGGGAGAUUGCUAUUAAUGAAUGAAAGCAGCCACCAUUCACUGGGUACUUGCCAUGUGCCAGGCACUGAGUCAUGACCUCACAUAAGCUGCUACCCAGAUGUUGAAUGUCAUUGUCUCUGUCACAUGGGGUGGUCACAGCCUCCCUGGGAGGUAGGAAGGCAUCUGCAGCGUGUCAAAACCAGCUUAUCUCGGGUGCCCCAAUACACCUGACAUGUUACAGCUGCACUACGAGAAGGUGAAAGCUGCUGACAAGAUGUAUUUGCCUUUCCAUUCGUGAGAAUGUAUGCAUUCUCUCUCUCUCUCUCUCUCUCUCUCUCCUCUCUCUCUCUCCCUGUGUGUCUCUUUUUUUUUCUCUCUCUCUUUUUCUCUCUCAUUCCAAGACACAUACACACACCCCAGUCUCAAACAAUCAUCAAAUAGACAUGUGGUCAGUUCAGUGACCUCCUUGUGCUAGGUAGAAGAACACAAAAUCCAAGGCCUGGAAGUGACUUGUCUGGUUGACAUGAGAUGUCCCCACUGAGAUCAGGAACCGGGAAACUGCCUGGUAUGGGGAAAAGAAUGCUGGACUUCCAGUUGGUCUGGAUUCCACGCCACAGCCUGACCCUGAUCGGCGGGUGACUUUAGGUGCCACUCUCCUCAUUUCUAAAAUGGGUGUCACUUUCCUAAUUCACCAACUGGGUGGGAAGUAGGUUUGUUCAUUUGUUCAAGCCAUUCAUUCGUCCAUCCGUUCACUUCCAACUAUGUAGUAAGCACCUUCAGUGUGCCAAACACAGCUAGAUCAUUUGAUUUGCAACUCUAAAGAUUUAAGAUUUGAUCCUUCCUACACCUGUUUAAGAGUUAGCACCUAAAUGGUAGGUCUUUUGACUCAAGGACGCCUUGUGCUAGAAUUUCCCUCUAGGUAAAAAAUGUAUCUUUCUCCCAUGCAUAAAGUGGGCUUUGGCAGGCCAGGUGCGAUGGCUAAUGCCUGUAAUCCCAGCUCUUUGGGAUGCCGAGAUGGGAGGAUCACCUGAGUCCAGGAGUUUGAGACUAGCCUAGUCAACAUGGAGAGACCCUAUCUCUACAAAAAAAAAAAAAAAAAAAAAUUAGCCAGGCAUGGUGUUGCAUGGUGUGCAUGUCUGUGGUCUCAGCUACAUGGUAGGCUGAGGCAGGAGGAUUGCUUGAACCCAGGACUUAGAGGCUGCAGUGAGCCGUGUUUGCACCACUGCACUCCAGCCUAGGUGACAGAGCAAGACACUGUUUCAGAACAAACAAAGUAGGUCUUGGCAAGAAUGUAGUGCCAGCUCCGCAUGCCAGUUUAUUCAUCCAGUCUUCCAUUUAUACAUUCUGUCUAUCCAUCCACCCACCCACCUGCCCAUCCAUUCAUCCACCCAUCCAUUCAUUCAUCCAUCUAUCCAUCCAUCCAUCCAUCCAUCCAUCCAUCCAUCCAUCCAUCCGUCCGUCCAUCCAUCCAUUUUUCCACAUGAACCCUUGCAUCCCUCUAUGCAAUCAUCCAUCUAUUCAAUCCAUCCAUUUAUCCAUCCAUGUAUUUACUAAUCACUUCUAUGUGCCUAGCUCAACUCUGUCCACUGACUCCAACCCCCAGGAAGGCCCCAUGCCCAUAGUCACCUUGGGUUUGAGGCAGAGGUGAUGGAAAGCUCAGAGUCUAGGUAGCAAUAAUUUCCGAUUCUCAGAAUCCAGGAACUCUCUGAAAUGCCCUCAGGCACUUUGAGAGUAAGCAGAGCCAGAGACAGACUCAUUCAGGCUGCACACACAUCCCCUGUUUAGAUGCAGCCCUUCCUCUUGGUUCUGCUCUAGCCUCUCCCUCUGUAAGAAUACCUGAAGCCCCGGCCUUGGCCCUGUGUCAACUAAAAAGAAUCCUACAUGAAUGGGUAAACAAACUGUGGCAUAUCCAUGCAACAAAAUAGUACACAGCUGUGAAAAGGAAUGAGGCACUGACACAUGCCUCAAUAUGGCUGAACCUUGCAAACACUGUGCUAAGUGAAAAAAAACAGACACAAAAGACCACGCAUUGCAUGAUUCCAUUUGUCAGAACAGGCAAAUCCAUAGAGACAGAAAGGAGAUUAGUGGUUGCCAGGGGCUGAGGGGAGGAAAGAAUGAGGGAUGAUUGCUAAAGGAUACAGGAUUCUUUUGGAGAUGAUGAAAUGUUCUGGAAUUAGUAGUGAUGGUUGCACAACGUUGUGAAUAAAAAUCACGGGAUUGUGUACUUUAAAAGGGUGAACUUUAUGGAAUAUAAAUUAUUUUGGAAAAAUUUUAAAGUUAUUAAAAACCUUAAAAAUAGAAAAAAUAAUAUUUCUAUGUGUUGUUAUUAUUAUUAUUAUUAUUAUUUGAGACCGGGCAUCACUCUGUCACCAAGGCUAGGGUGCAGUGGCACAAUCAUGGCUCAUUGCAGCCUUGACCUGCUAUGCUCAGGUGAUCCUCCCGCCUCAGCCUCCUGAGUAGCUGGGACUAUAGGACUGCACCACCACACCCAGCUAGUUUUCUGUAUUUUUUGAAGAUGGGGCUUUGCCAUGUUGCCCAGGUUGGUCUCAAACUGCUGGCUCAAGUGAUCCCCCUGUCUCGGCCUCCCAAAGUGCUGGGAUUAUAGGUGUGGGCCACUGCACCUGGCCUAUGUGUUAUUAAAUAUGCAUUUCCCAGCCUUCUGGUGACAGAGUGAGGGAAGGUAGCACUGAUGCUGUUUCCCAGCAGAGAAGCUGGAAUCUCAGAGAGGAGGGAGGGCCUGUCAGGCUGGCAUUGCUAAUUAGUGGUGGAGAUGGGACAAGAAGUAGGGCCAGACUCUUGGUCUUUCCCUCUUGGUCUCUUUCCCUCAUGUCAGACUGCCUGAUGAGCAGAUGGCACUUCCUGAGCCAAUCUCCAACUCUGUCUGUAUCUGCCACCUUUAGUCCAGGGGCCACUGCAGGCACAGCUCGCACUGGAGGAGGCUGUCAUGACAGCUAAUGGCUGCCACUUGAGGAGUUAUGCUUGGUGCCAGGCACAGGGGCAUCAAUGAGGGUGGUCUUAUCUCAUUCCCAAAGACCUCUGUCAUGGACCUUGUUAAGAGUGCCAAACCCCUUCUACAUGAGCACGCUGGUCUUUCCUGGGGCGUCCUCAGUGAACACAGACUGGUGGGAGGUCAUGGUAUCCCAACCCUAGAGACCAAAGAAAUGGGCAGGAGAUAAGCAUAGAACCUCGACUGGGCCUUGAACAUUGAGCAUGCAGAGGCUCAGCGGCCUCUGCAGUCCUGCCCAUGACUGUGGCUGUGGCAGCCGGCACCCUGGGCUGCUCCUGCUUGCUCUAGAGUCUACUGCCUUGAUUGAUGAAUCACUAUUUGACCUAUUCCUCUAUCACUCCUUGCAUUCUAUCUACUUUCUAGGCCUGGUCUUCCAGUUUCCUAUAGAUUCUGUGAGCUUCUGAUAUCCUUUCAUUAAAUUCCCUUUUGCACUCGUCAGAGACAGAGUCAGGUUCUGUCGCUUGCAACCAUUCACUCUGACCGAUGCAUCCCUAUGAGAUACGAGAUACUCUUAUUUGGCCCAUUUUACAGAUGAGAAAAUUGAGGCUCAGGGCCCCCCAGAUUAUGAGUGACAAAGCAAAGAUGUAAACCCAGGUCUGUUUGACUUCCAGAGCCCGAUCUCUCAACCUCUACUGAGAAAGAAGAGCCAGCAAACCUUUCCUGUGUGUUUCCUAUAAGCCAGACCUUGAGCAAAUCCUCUAAGCAAAUCUAUAAAUCCUCUAAGCCAGACCUAUAAGCAAAUCCUCUCAACAGCUCUAUUAAGGAGGAAUUGUCCCACUUUUAGAGGUGUGGAAACUGAGGAUCAAGGAGACGAUGUAACUGAUUUAUAGGUACCAGAGCUGAGAUUAAAACUGAGGUUCACCUGGCUCCAAAUCCCCACACUUUUAUAUA
ensembl:lncRNA